AAGUCGAACGCACCCGCUUCGGCGGGUGAGUGGCGCACGGCUGAGUAACACGUGGGAACCCGCCCCCCGGUGGGGGAUAACGCGACGAAAGUUGCGCUAAUCCCGCAUACGUCCUUCGGGGGAAAGCGCAGUGCGCGCCGGGGGAGGGGCCUGCGGCCCAUCAGGUCGUUGGUGGGGUAAUGGCCUACCAAGCCGAUGACGGGUAGCUGGUCUGGGAGGAUGACCAGCCAGACUGGGACUGAGACACGGCCCAGACUCCUACGGGAGGCAGCAGCAAGGAAUUUUCGGCAAUGGGCGCAAGCCUGACCGAGCAACGCCGCGUGCGGGAUGACGGCCUUCGGGUUGUAAACCGCUUUUCGGGGGGACGAC
rnacentral:rRNA from 1 species